GUUCAAAGUCCUCUGGAGAGCUCACCAUCAUGUCUUCAUUUCUCUUUCUCUUUGCUCUUUUUAUUUACUGCUCAGGUAAAGCUGUGGAGAAGAUCUCAUGUUCCAUUGGCCAACCAAAAGCUAACUGCAUUUAUCAUUUUUAUUUAUUUGAGAGCACUAAAAAUGUCCCCUUUCUCCAUAUUUUUUUAAACAGGGGUCACCUGCCAGUCAAUUUGCACUCAGCCUGCCUCUGAGUCUGUGUCGCCGGGUCAAACCAUUAAACUCUCCUGUACUACUAGUAAUACUGGCGCCUACAUUGGCUGGUAUCAACAGAGAUCAGGGCAGGCCCCUCGCUUUGUGCACUGUGAAACUGGCAGCAGGGGAGAAGGGAUCCCGGAUCGAUUCACGGCUUCUCGCUCUGGGAACAUUGGCUAUUUAACCAUCACCAACGUCCAGGCUGGAGAUGAGGCCGUUUAUUACUGUGGCAGAUGGUAUAGCAGUGCUAGUGCGUUCCACAGUGAUGCAAACUGAUGGGGAACUGAGACAAAAACCUUUCCUCUCCCACCAAAGAGCAGUGAGAUGUGAAUACCAAAAACAAACAUCAUCUAAUCUGUGUCUACAUCUGUUGUCAAGUCCAUCCUACUCUGGAUGGAACCAGAAGAGACAGAAAACUCUGAAUUCCCACCUCCUUCCUCACAGCAGGACCUUGGAGCUGCCAGCCCAGCACACCCUCAAGUCAGCCCUUCCCAGUGGAUGAAAGAUCUGCUUUGGGAAAGUCAGGCUGUAGAUUUCAUAUCUUUGCAAAAUAGGAGUCUGUUUUAGGAAUUGUGAGCUAUAGCAUAAAUGUCACCUGUGGAUUGCUAGGUUGGUCUUCACUGAGCAUAUUAUAAUAUCAUUAUUAUUUACUAAGCAUUAUCAUUAUGAUUACUAUUAUUACAGGCUCAGGUUGUAUAUAAAGGUAAAGGAACCCCUGACCAUUAGGUCUAGUUGUGGCCGACUCUGGGGUUGCGGCACUCAUCUCGCUUUAUUGGACGAGGAAGCCGGCGUACAGCUUCCGGGUCAUGUGGCCAGCAUGACUGAGCCGCUUCUGGUGAACCAGAGCAGCACACGGAAACGCCGUUUACCUUCCUGCCGGAGUGGGACUAUUUAUUUGCUUGCACUGAGUGCUUUCAAACUGCUAGGUUGGGAGGAGCAGGGACUGAGCAACAGGAGCUCACUCCGUUGCUGGGAUUCGAACCGCCGACCUCCUGAUCGGCAAGUCCUAGGCACUGUGGUUUAACGCACAGCGCCACCCGCAUUCCUUCAGGUUGUAUAUAUGUGUAUAUAAAAUACAUAUCAUAAAGACACCACAAUCUCCAAUGGGCCUCAUUACGAAUGGAAAGACGAACCCUGGGAACCACUUGGAACCACUGGAACCUCCCACCACUUGGAGAUUGAGGUGGCUUGCAAAAAUAGGCUUUGUGCCUGCAGUUGCUGUCAAGUCUAGCUUCUUCCGCAUAGAACUUAUAAGAGAAAAAUAGCAAAUUUGAAGUCCCCCCUGCAGUACUGCUGGUACUGCAGCUACAAGGACUUUUAUGCUUUUUCCAUGAUUCUAGACAUGAGUCUGCCUGGUUUUGCCUUUGCCCUGCUCCUUUCCCCUGGAAAACCUGCUCUUCACCCCUCAAUUGGAACAACCAGCAAUCCGUGGAAAGUCCGACUACCAUAUGCUGCCAUUCAGCAGUAAAUUGCAGGUUUUCCCUGGGGAAAUAAGCAGGGGAAACGGAGCGGUGCCCUUCCAUUUUGAUCAAAGUUGUCGUUUUGGAAAGGCUUGUGAGUUUAUAUCUAUUUAGAUCCUUUUUAGGAGAUGUGAAAUAUUACAGACAGGCAUGCCAAUUGUGGAGUGGGCUGCCUAAAAUAUAUUGUCAAGGAGGGGCCAGGCCCCACAAAGAACCCCAGCGGAUGUGCGCACCCACCGCGGGGCAUGCUUGCGUCACUUUUGCAAGCUGCAGGGCAUGUGCACAACAUAUCAGCACACGCCAUGACAUUCGUAGGUGACGUCAGAACUGAGUUUGUGCAGCCCUGGGCCUGUCAGUUGCAGGGACAAGGGGGUGCCCUUGAUGGCAGAGAUGCUAUUUUCCAAAGCAUACUUUCCCGGACAGUAGGAAGCUGCUGUCACCAUCCCUACCGCUUGGGAAUUUCCCUUGGAUCUUGUCCCUGCUGAAGGUCACGUGCCUUUUGUUCACAAUCUCUGCUCCUUAGAAGUAGGCUGCAGAGAGCGUCUCAUUGGAAAUGUUCUCUAUCCCAAUGUGUUCUGCAAUACAGUAAUGUGAGCCUUAAUACAGCAGGUGAGGGGAAACGGUGGCCUUUUAGAAACGCUUGGACUCCCAUCAGCCCCAGUCAGCAUGGCGAAUGGCCACACACAUUUGGGCCUUUCUCCAAGGUGUUGCUAAACUCUGAAGCUGCCUCUUGCUUGUCUGGAGGGACGAUAGAAAGAGAUGUGUGAAGACACUUCCGCAGUAGACAGAAGUAAAAUUUAGAACUAUAGCUCCACCCACUUGUUCCUCUGGUCUCUCCUACCAUUGGCAGGUGCCCUGCUCAGUCCAUGGCUUUAACCAGCCUCUUCCCCCCCUCUCCCAGACCUGAACAGAGUCUGAAACUAGCAUUUUUUUCUCACCAAUAGCUUAGAAACCUUUACCUUUUGUAACUAAGCAACAUUUUUCAUAUUUCCUGACUGGUGAUUUACUGCUGGCUCACUCCCGUCACUAACCCAUUCCUAUUUUACUUUUUUAAAAAGAAAGAAAGAAAAUCUGUCCUAUUCUCCUCUGUUUGAAUGUCCCACAAUGCUUUAAAGGAACCUGAAAUUCUAGGAGUGGCGUUUGGUUAUCCACAGAACACAUUUGCAUGAAGGGGAAAGCCUUCAGCACUGGGAAAUUUAAGAGAGGAGAGGGCAAGAUCCACUCAGAAAGGCAAACUCCCCUGGAGAGCUCACCAUGGCCCUCCCUCAAUUCAUACUUGCUAUUUUCGUUUACUGUUCAGGUAAGGCUGUGGAGGUGAUCUCUUGUUCAAGAGGCCAAGCCAAAGAUAUUUGAAUCUAUCCCAGAAACAUAGUGCUUUGUGGGUGUUUGUGAAUGCUGAAAAUGAAACGAGGUCCUCAUCUUUGUUUUUUCUGUUGUUGCUUCCUCCUACAAAGGUGUCUCUUCACAGUCAGAUCCGACUCAGCCUGCCUCUGAGUCUGUGACCCUGGGACAAACGGUCAAACUCUCCUGUACUUCCAGUAACCGUGGCAGCAACUACAUUCAUUGGUAUCAACAGAGAUCAGGAAAGGCCCCUCGCUUUGUGCAGUAUGAUGGUAGCAGCAGGGGAGAAGGGAUCCCGGAUCGAUUCACCGCUUCUCGCUCAGGGAACAUUGGCUAUUUAACCAUCACCAAGGUCCAGGCUGGAGAUGAGGCUGUUUAUUACUGUGGCAGAUGGUACGGUCUCACAUCCCACAGUAAUACAAACUGAUGGGGAAGUGUGACAAAAACCUUUCUUCUUCCACCAAAGAGCAGUGAGAUGUGAAUGCUUAAAAAGAACUUCCUAUGCUUUGUGCUUGCAGCUGUUGUCAAGUCAUGAGUAGAUUUGCUUUACUGGCCAUGAUCGGCCAUACAGACAGCUUAAUCAACACAGAUCCCACCACUGCAGGGCACAAACAGAGAGUGAACAGACCCCAAACAAGUUCUUGGUAGAUCAGGACAGACGCUCCAAGUGUCUCUAUUUUGAAGGGACAGUCCUGGAUUUACAGAAGCCGUCCUGGUUUCUGAUUUGAUCCCAGAAAGUCCUGCUUUUCCUCAGGACAUCCCUAUGUCCAUAGUAGAAAUGUUGGAGGGUGUGGAGUUAUUUCACCCCCGAGCCAUCUGAAGACAGCCUUGUAUAGGGUGUGGAGUUAUCCGACUCCCAAAACAUCAAAAGGCAGCCAUGUAUGGGAAAGUUUUUAAUGCUUAGCGUUUUAUUAUGCUUUUAUAUAUGUUGGAAGACAGCCAGAGUUGCAACGCAGUCAAAUGGACAGGGUAUAAAUGGUAGAAUUAUUAUUAUGGGAUAGGACUUCUCUGUUUUCAUUGGUGAAAUAUUGGAGGGUAUGUUGACAAACAUCAGCUCCACAGUCACAUUCCCCACCUGGCAACUUUCCAUGGGUCUCAUGUCACUGGUGGGCGAGGCCAGAGGCAAAGGUGCGAUGAAUGGAUAUUUUACCUCUCUACUGUAGGCUCCCUGAUCCUCAGGUCUGCCCUGAUACAGCACCGAGUAUCCAGUUUGGCCCAGCUGGGUGAGACCAACUGCACUCUGCUCUCAGAGGUGGUUCAACUGGUUCAGUCGAAUUGGGCAUUGUGCUACAGGGGGUCCCACACCAAUGCUGUGGAACGGAGCAUGAGGGGGAGGGGCAUGCACCAAAUUUUAGCAUUGCACAGGGCGCUGCUGAAAUCUGGGAGCCCAAAGACCGCCAUUUCUGCUCUCCCACGCAGGUCUCAGGGAUAUUGUUCUUGUCACUGUUGCAGGCUGCGUGUCUUUUCAUCCUAAUCUCUGCUCCUCAUAUGUCAGAAGGUGGCAGCAGAGACUGUGCCGUUUGAAAUAACAAGAAUGAAUGCUUUCUUCACCAAGUUCAUGCAAUAGUUUAAAGCUCAAUAGUGUUGUACAGCGGGGGUAGGGAAACUCUGGCCUUUCAGAAGUUGCUGGACUCCAACUUCCAUCAGCCCCGGCCAGCAAGAGCAAUAGAAGGAUGCAAAGAGCAGGCGGACCAAUCGGCCCCUUUCUGUGCAGGAGGACGUAGAGUAGGCUGGCCAGAGUGCGCAGCUUGGUUUGUGCAGCCCUGAGGAGUGGGUGUUCUUCCUCUCUUUUGAACUUCUCAAUCAUUUGUUUCACUGAUUCAUUUCAUAAUAUUUCUACACCACUUGAUUGUAUUAAAAAGAAAUCCAAUAAGGUUACGAAGAGAUAAGAAAAGAAAAUGAAGAAAAAUUCACAAACUUACUUUAAACAUAAGAAGCUAAAAUACAAAAAGAGACUGCACUUUCUAAGACGUUUUAAGAAUUUUGAGCUCUUUCCUAUCCUACACAGUCCUCUGUGCAUCCUGCCCAUAUUAGGAAUAUUCCCAAGUGAGAUGUUCCACACUAUAAAAAGCAGUGUUCCCAGGACCCUUCCUGAUAGAUGUCUUACUGCAAAGAGUUCCUUCAUGGCUGUCUCAUCACAAUCUGGCUGAACUAAGGGCCAGUCCUACUGCUUUGAGAAAUCUCCUUUAUAUAAAUCUGCCAUUGCCCCCUUUGAUUAAAUGUCCCAUAAUGCUCUGCAGGAUCUCCCAAUCCCAAUCGAGGCAAUCGAUGAUCACAGAAGAUAUUUGCAUGAAGGGGCAGCUCUUCAGCUCUGGGAGAUUUAAGAGAGGAGUGCGGAAGUUUCCUUCAGAAGUUCAAACUCCUCUGGAGAGCUCACCAUCAUGUCUUCAUUUCUCUUUCUCCUUGUUCUUUUUCUUUACUGCUCAGGUAAAGCUGUGGAGAAGAUCUCAUAUUCCCUUGGCCAACAGAAAGCUAAUAGCAUUUAUCAUAUUUUUUUUAUUUGAGAACAGUGAAAAUGUUAUUUUUUCUCAUUUUUUUUAAAACAGGUGUCAACUGCCAAUCAAUUUGCACUCAGCCUGCCUCUGAGUCUGUGGUGCCGGGUCAAACCAUUAAACUCUCCUGUACAACUAGUGAUACUGGCGACGCUGUUCGCUGGUAUCAACAGAGAUCAGGGCAGGUCCCUCGAUUUGUGCAGUAUGAGGGUAGCAGCAGGGGAGAAGGGAUCCCAGAUCGAUUCACAGCUUCUCGCUCUGGGAACAUUGGCUAUUUAACCAUCACCAACGUCCAGGCUGGAGAUGAGGCCGUUUAUUACUGUUGCAGAUGGUAUAGCAGUGCUAGUGGGUUCCACAGUGAUGCAAACUGAUGGGGAACUGAGACAAAAACCUUUCCUCUUCCACCAAAGGGCAGUGAGAUGUGAAUACUGAAAACCAACUUCAUGUAAUCUGUGUCUACAUCUGUUGUCAAGUCCAUCCUACUCUGGAUGGAACCAGAAGAGACAGAAAACUCUGAAGUCUCACCUCCUUUCUCACAGCAGGACCUUGGAGCUGCCAGCCCAGCACACCCUCAAGUCAGCCCUUCCUUGUGGAUGAAACAGCUGCUUUGGGAAAGUCAGGCUGCGGACUUCCUUUUCAUUGCAAAAUAGGAGUCUGAUUUAGGAAUGUUGAGUUAUAGCAGAAAUGCCACCUGCUGACUGCUAGGUCAGUCUUCAUUGAGCAUAUUAUAAUAAUAUUAUUAUUAUUGACUGAACAUUAUUAUUAUUAUUAUUAUUAUUAUUAUUAUUAUUAUUAUUACAGGCUCAGGUUGUAUAUAUGCGUAAAUAAACCAUAUAUCAUAAAGACACCACAAUCUCCAAUGCGCCUUAUUCCCAAAGGAAAGACGAACCCAGGGAAACGCCUGGAAACCCUGGAACCUCCCACCACUUGGAGAUUGGGGUGGCGUGCAGAAGUAGGCUUUGCACCUGCAGUUGCUGUCAAGCCAAACUUCCUCUGCCUCAAACUUGUAAGAGAAAAGAACACAUCUGAAGUCCCUCCUCCUCCUCCUGCAGAGCAGGACCCUGGACCUCAUUCCUAUCCACACCCGGAGUGCCAGGCUUCCGCAGAUUCCUAGGUCUUGUCCACAUCUCUGCUUAUCCCAUUCCUGGAAACCACAAAUAAAAGCUGUUUUAUGCUUUGCUCCUGCUUUCUAGACAGGAGUCUGGCUGGUUUUGCCUUUGCCCUGCUGCUUUCCCCUGGAAAACCUGCUCUUCAACCCUAAAUCGGAAAAACCAGCAAUCUGCGAAAAAUCUGAUUGCUGUUUGGUGCCAUUCAGAAGUAAAUCUGAUUGCCAGACCUUCCAAGUGUCCCUAUUUUGCAGGGUCAGUCCAGAAUCUACAAAAGCUGUCCUGGUUUCUGAUUUGAUCCCAGAAAGUCCCACUUUUCCUUAGAUCGUCCGAAUUUCAAUCUUAGAAAUGUUGGCGGGUAUGGAGUUAUUGAACCCAGAAGCCAUUUGAAGACAGCCCUGUAGAGCCAUGUUUUUAAUGUUUAAUGUUUUAUUAUGCUUUUAUAUAUCUUGGAUGCCACCCGGAGUGGCACCCCAGUCAGAUGGGCAGGGUAUAAAGAGUUAAAUUAUUAUUAUGGGAUAGGAGGUCCCGAUUUUCAUUGGAGAAAUGUUGGUGUGUACGUUGACAGGCAUCUGCCCGAGAGUCAUAUUUCCCCACCUGGUAACUUUCCAUGGGUCCCAUGUCACAGGUGGGUGGGGCCAGAGUCAAAGGUGCCAUGAACGGAUAUUUUACCUCUCUACUGUAGGCUGGUUCCCCCAACACUCACUAUCCCCCAUCCAUGAAAUGAGAGGCAUCAGUGGAAUGCUAGGGCACAUCCUUGCCAGGCAGAAACCCUUGGGGUGCAAACAGAGCCAGUGGAAGGUGUGGCUAGAGGAGAGUGGGUGUGGCCUAGAGCAGUGGCAGAGUGUGUGGGGGGGAAUGGGGUGCUUGCCCCAGACACAAAAUUGUAAGGGGCACAAAAAUUUGUACACUUGGUGCUACCUCAAUAUAACUGCACACUUCUGUAAUGUGCUCCCUUGAAAAAAGGUUCUCCAUGUGAAGUUGACCUCUCCAAACAAUGGAGCGACUCUUAUUUUCUUGUCUCUUUGACUGCAAUGUCCUGGGUGAUGCGGAGGCUGUUAGGCAGUUGAAUGUACAUGCGUACUUUAUCCGUUUCCCUUCCACCCCCUCUGCACUUGGCCCCGGGUGCUGCAACCCACGCUACACCACUGGCCUAGAGGGCCAGACAGAGACACAUUGCUCUUUCACCAUCUCUGCUCCUCAUAUGUCAGAAGGUAGCAGCAGAGACUGUGCCUUUUGAAAUACGAAGAAUGAAUGUUUUCUUCACCAAGUUUAUGCAACAAUUCAAAGCUUAAUAGUUUUGUACAGCAGAGGUAUGGAAACCCUGGCUGUCCUAGGUUGUCCAUGUUCAAAAAAGAUAAUGCAAAACAAGAAAAACUCACAAUGUUACUUUAAACCCAAAGGGUGCUCAUCAAUGGUUCCUCUUCAUCCUGGAGAAGAGUGACUAGUGGGGUGCCACAGGGUUCUGUCUUGGGCCCGGUCUUACUCAACAUCUUUAUCAACGACUUGGAUGAUGGACUCAAGGGCAUCCUGAUCAAAUUUGCAGAUGACACCAAAUUGGGAGGGGUGGCUAACACCCCAGAGGACAGGAUCACACUUCAAAACGGCCUUGACAGAUUAGAGAACUGGGCCAAAACAAACAAGAUGAAUUUUAACAGGGAGAAAUGUAAAGUAUUGCAGUUGGGCAAAAAAAAUGAGAGGCACAAAUACAAGAUGGGUGACACCUGGCUUGAGAGCAGUACAUGUGAAAAGGAUCUAGGAGUCUUGGUUGACCACAAACUUCACAUGAGCCAACAGUGUGACGCGGCAGCUAAAAAGCCAAUGCAAUUCUGGGCUGCAUCAAUAGGAGUAUAGCAUCUAGAUCAAGGGAAGUAAUAGUGCCACUGUAUUCUGCUCUGGUCAGACCUCACCUGGAGUACUGUGUCCAGUUCUGGGCACCACAGUUCAAGAAGGACACUGACAAACUGGAACGUGUCCAGAGGAGGGCAACCAAAAUGGUCAAAGGCCUGGAAACGAUGCCUUAUGAGGAACGGCUAAGGGAGCUGGGCAUGUUUAGCCUGGAGAAGAGGAGUUUAAGGGGUGAUAUGAUAGCCAUGUUCAAAUAUAUAAAUGGAUGUCACAUAGAGGAGGGAGAAAGGUUGUUUUCUGCUGCUCCAGAGAAGCGGACACGGAGCAAUGGAUCCAAACUAGAAGAAAGAAGAUUCCACCUAAACAUUAGGAAGAACUUCCUGACAGUAAGAGCUGUUCGACAGUGGAAUUUGCUGCCAAGGAGUGUGGUGGAGUCUCCUUCUUUGGAGGUCUUUAAGCAGAGGCUUGACAACCAUAUGUCAGGAGUGCUCUGAUGGUGUUUCCUGCUUGGCAGAGGGUUGGACUCGAUGGCCCUUGUGGUCUCUUCCAACUCUAUGAUUCUAUGAUUCUAUGAAACUUUAAAAAGUUAAGAUACAAAGAAAGACUGAACUUUCUAAGACGUUUUAAGAAUUAUGAGCUCUUUUCAUUCCUACACAGUCCUCUAUCUAUAAAGCCCCAGCUAGGAAUGUUCCCAAGUGAGAUGUUCAACUCUAUAAAAAGCAGUGUUCCCAGGAGCCUUCCUGAUAGAUGUCUUACUGCAAAGAGUUCCUUCAUGGCUGUCUCAUCACAUCCUGGCUGAACUAAGGGCCACUCCUGCUGCUUUGAAUAAUCUCCUUUAUGCAAAUCGGCCCUUGGGCUCUUUGAUGGAAUGUCCCAUAAUGCUCUACAGGAUCUCCAAAUACCAACAGAGGCAAUCGAUGAUAGUGGAAGAUAUUUGCAUGAAGGGGCAGCUCUUCAGCUCUGGGGGAUUUAAGAGAGGAGUGAGGAAGUUUCCUCCAGAAGUUCAAACUCCUCUGGAGAGCUCACCAUCAUGUCUUCAUUUCUCUUUCUCCUUGCUCUUUUUAUUUACUGCUCAGGUAAAGCUGUGGAGAAGAUCUCAUGUUCCAUUGGCCAACCAAAAGCUAACUGCAUUUAUCAUUUUUAUUUAUUUGAGAGCACUAAAAAUGUUCCCCUUUCUCCAUAUUUUUUUAAACAGGAGUCACCUGCCAGACAAUUUGCACUCAGCCUGCCUCUGAGUCUGUGGCGCCGGGUCAAACCAUUAAACUCUCCUGUACAACUAGUGAUACUGACUCCUACAUUGGCUGGUAUCAACAGAGAUCAGGGCAGGCCCCUCGAUUUGUGCAGUAUGAAGGUAGCAGCAGGGGAGAAGGGAUCCCGGAUCGAUUCACGGCUUCUCGCUCUGGGAACAUUGGCUAUUUAACCAUCACCAACGUCCAGGCUGGAGAUGAGGCUGUUUAUUACUGUUGCAGAUGGUAUAGCAGUGCUAGGGCGUUCCACAGUGAUGCAAACUGAUGGGGAACUGAGACAGAAACCUUUCCUCUUCCACCAAAGGGCAGUGAGAUGUGAAUACUGAAAACCAACUUCAUGUAAUCUGUGUCUACAUCUGUUGUCAAGUCCAUCCUACUCUGGAUGGAACCAGAAGAGACAGAAAACUCUGAAGUCUCACCUCCUUUCUCACAGCAGGACCUUGGAGCUGCCAGCCCAGCACACCCUCAAGUCAGCCCUUCCUUGUGGAUGAAACAGCUGCUUUGGGAAAGUCAGGCUGCGGACUUCCUUUUUCAUUGCAAAAUAGGAGUCUGAUUUAGGAAUGUUGAGUUAUAGCAGAAAUGCCACCUGCUGACUGCUAGGUCAGUCUUCAUUGAGCAUAUAAUAAUAAUAUUAUUAUUAUUGACUGAACAUUAUUAUUAUUAUUAUUAUUAUUAUUAUUAUUACAGGCUCAGGUUGUAUAUAUGCGUAAAUAAACCAUAUAUCAUAAAGACACCACAAUCUCCAAUGCACCUUAUUCCCAAAGGAAAGACGAAGCCAGGGAAACGCCUGGAACCCCUGGAACCUCCCACCACUUGGAGAUUGGGGUGGCGUGCAGAAGUAGGCUUUGCACCUACAGUUGCUGUCAAGCCAAACUUCCUCUGCCUCGAACUUGUAAGAGAAAAGAACACAUCUGAAGUCCCUCCUCCUCCUCCUGCAGAGCAGGACCCUGGACCUCAUUCCUAUCCACACCCGGAGUGCCAGGCUUCCGCAGAUUCCUAGGUCUUGUCCACAUCUCUGCUUGUCCAAUUUCUGGAAAGCACAGCUAUAAGGACUUUUACGCUUUGCCCCUGCUUUCUAGACAGGAGUCUGGCUGGUUUUGCCUUUGCCCUGCUGCUUUCCCCUGGAAAACCUGCUCUUCAACCCUAAAUCGGAAAAACCAGCAAUCUGCGAAAAAUCUGAUUGCUGUUAGGUGGCAUUCAGAAGUAAAUCUGAUUGCCAGACCUUCCAAGUGUCCCUAUUUUCCAGGGUCAGUCCAGAAUCUACAAAAGCCGUCCUGGUUUCUGAUUUGAUCCCAGAAACUCCUGCUUUUCCUCAGGACAUCCCUAUGUCCAUAGUAGAAAUGUUGGAGGGUGUGGAGUUAUUUCACCCCCAAGCCAUCUGAAGACAGCCUUGUAUAGGGUGUGGAGUUAUUCGACUCCCAAACCAUCAAAAGGCAGCCAUGUAUGGGAAAGUUUUUAAUGUUUAGUGUUUUAUUAUGCUUUUAUAUAUGUUGGAAGACAGCAAGAGUUGCAACGCAGUCAAAUGGACAGGGUAUAAAUGGUAGAAUUAUUAUUAUGGGAUAGGACUUCUCUGUUUUCAUUGGUGAAAUAUUGGAGGGUAUGUUGACAAACAUCAGCUCCACAGUCACAUUCCCCACCUGGCAACUUUCCAUGGGUCCCAUGUCACUGGUGGGUGGCGCCAGAGGCAAAGGUGCGAUGAAGGGAUAUUUUACCUCUCUACUGUAGGCUCCCUGAUCCUCAGGUCUGCCCUGAUACAGCACCGAGUAUCCAGGUUGGCCCAGCUGGGUGAGACCAACUGCACUCUGCUCUCAGAGGCUUUUCAACUGGUUUCGUCGAAUUGGGCAUUGUGCUACAGGGGGUCCCACACCAAUGCUGUGGAACGGAGCAUGAGGGGGAGGGGCAUGCGCCAAAUUUUAGCAUCGCACAGGGCGCUGCUGAAAUCUGGGAGCCCAAAGACCGCCAUUUCUGCUCUCCCACGCAGGUCUCAGGGAGCCUGUUCUUGUCACUGUUGCAGGCUGCGUGUCUGUUCAUCCCAAUCUCUGCUCCUCAUAUGCCAGAAGGUGGCAGCAGAGACUGUGCCAUUGAAAAACCGAGAAAGAAUGUUUUCUUCAAUAAGUUUAAGAAAGAACUUAAAGCUUAAUAAUUCUGUACAGUGGGGGUAGGGAAACUCUGGCCUUUCAGAAGUUGUUGGACUCCAACUCCCAUCAGCCCCGGCCAGCAAGAGCAAUAGAAGCAUGCAAAGAGCAGGCGGACCAAUCGGCCCCUUUCUGUGCAGGAGGACAUAGACUAGGCUGGCCAGAGUGCGCAGCUCGGUUUGUGCAGCCCUGACUAGUGGGUGUUCUUCCCCUCUUUUGAACUUCACAGUUAUUUGUUUCACCGAUUCAUUUCAUAAUAUUUCUACACCACUUGAUUGUAUUAAAAAAGCCUCUAAGCAAGUUACAAAAAGAUAAGAAAAGAAAAGAAAAUGAAGAAGAAUUCACAACAUUACUUUAAAAGAUAAAAAGUAAAAAUACGAAGACAGACUGAACUUUCUAAGACAUUUUAGGAAUUAUGAGCUUUAUUUGUUCCUACACAGUCAUCUGUCUAUCCAGCCCAGGUUAGGAAUGGUCCCAAGUGAGAUGUUCCACACAAUAAAAACCAACCUAUUAAAAGCAUUGUUCCCAGGACCCUUCCUGAUAGAUGUCUUGCUGCAAAGAGUUCCUUCAUGGCUGUCUCAUAAGACCGUGGCUGAACUAAGGGCCAGUCUUGCUGCUUUGAGAAAUCUCAUUUAUGCAAAAUCUGCCCAUGGGCCCUUGGACUGAAUGUCCUAUGAUGCUCUGCAGGAUUUCUAAAUCCCAAUAGAGGCAAUCGAUGAUCUAAGAAGAUAUUUGCAUGAAGGGGCAGCUCUUCAGCUCUGGGGGAUUUAAGACAGGAGUGAGGAAGUUUCCUUCAGAAGUUCAAACUCCUCUGGAGAGCUCACCAUCAUGUCUUCCUUUCUCUUUCUCCUUGCUCUUUUUGUUUACUGCUCAGGUAAAGCUGUGGAGAAGAUCUCUUGUUCCACUGGCCAACCAAAAGCUAACUGCAUUUAUCAUAUUUACUUAUUUGAGAAGACUGAAAAUGUUCCUUUUUCUCAAUUCUCUUAAAACAGGUGUCAUCUCUCAGUCAAUUUGGACUCAGCCUGCCUCUGAGUCUGUGGCGCUAGGUCAAACCAUUAAACUCUCCUGUACUACUAGUGAUACUGGCUCCUACAUUGGCUGGUAUCAACAGAGAUCAGGGCAGGCCCCUCGCUUUGUGCAGCGUGAGGGUGGCAGCAGGGGAGAAGGGAUCCCGGAUCGAUUCACGGCUUCUCGCUCUGGGAACAUUGGCUUUUUAACCAUCACCAACGUCCAGGCUGGAGAUGAGGCCGUUUAUUACUGUUGCAGAUGGUAUAGCAGUGCUAGUGCGUUCCACAGUGAUGCAAACUGAUGGGGAACUGAGACAAAAACCUUUCCUCUUCCACCAAAGGGCAGUGAGAUGUGAAUACUGAAAACCAACUUCAUGUAAUCUGUGUCUACAUCUGUUGUCAAGUCCAUCCUACUCUGGAUGGAACCAGAAGAGACAGAAAACUCUGAAGUCUCACCUCCUUCCUCACAGCAGGACCUUGGAGCUGCCAGCCCAGCACACCCUCAAGUCAGCCCUUCCUUGUGGAUGAAAGAGCUGCUUUGGGAAAGUCAGGCUGCGGACUUCCUUUUUCAUUGCAAAAUAGGAGUCUGAUUUAGGAAUGUUGAGUUAUAGCAGAAAUGCCACCUGCUGACUGCUAGGUCAGUCUUCAGUGAGCAUAUUAUAAUUAGAUUAUUAUUAUUUAGUGAAUAUUAUUAUUAUUAUUAUUAUUAUUAUUAUUAUUAUUACAGGCUCAGGUUGUAUAUAUGCGUAAAUAAACCAUAUAUCAUAAAGACACCACAAUCUCCAAUGCGUCUUAUUCCCAAAGGAAAGACGAACCAAGGGAAACGCCUGGAACCCCUGGAACCUCCCACCACUUGGAGAUUGGGGUGGCGUGCAGAAGUAGGCUUUGCACCUGCAGUUGCUGUCAAGCCAAACUUCCUCUGCCUCGAACUUGUAAGAGAAAAGAACACAUCUGAAGUCCCUCCUCCUCCUCCUGCAGAGCAGGACCCUGGACCUCAUUCCUAUCCACACCCGGAGUGCCAGGCUUCCGCAGAUUCCUAGGUCUUGUCCACAUCUCUGCUUAUCCCAUUCCUGGAAACCACAAAUAUAAGCUGUUUUAUGCUUUGCUCCUGCUUUCUAGACAGGAGUCUGGCUGGUUUUGCCUUUGCCCUGCUGCUUUCCCCUGGAAAACCUGCUCUUCAACCCUAAAUCAGAAAAACCAGCAAUCUGCGAAAAAUCUGAUUGCUGUUAGGUGCCAUUCAGAAGUAAAUCUGAUUGCCAGACCUUCCAAGUGUCCCUAUUUUCCAGGGUCAGUCCAGAAUCUACAAAAGCCGUCCUGGUUUCUGAUUUGAUCCCAGAAAGUCCCACUUUUCCUUAGAUCGUCCCAAUUUCAAUCUGAGAAAUGUUGGCGGGUAUGGAGUUAUUGAACCCAGAAACCAUUUGAAGACAGCCCUGUAGAGCCAUGUUUUUAAUGUUUAAUGUUUUAUUAUGCUUUUAUAUAUCUUGGAUGCCACCCAGAGUGGCACCCCAGUCAGAUGGGCAGGGUAUAAAGAGUUAAAUUAUAGGAUAGGAGGUCCCGAUUUUCAUUGGAGAAAUGUUGGUGUGUACGUUGACAGGCAUCUGCCCGAGAGUCAUAUUUUCCCACCUGGUAACUUUCCAUGGGUCCCAUGUCACAGGUGGGUGGGGCCAGAGGCAAAGUUGCCAUGAAUGGAUAUUUUACCUCUCUACUGUAGUCUAGUCCCCCCAACACUCACUAUCCCCCAUCCAUGAAAUGAGAGGCAUCAGCGGAAUGCUAGGGCCCAUCCUUGCCAGGCAGAAACCCUUGGGGUGCAAGCAGAGCCAGUGGAAGGUGUGGCUAGAGGAGAGUGGGUGUGGCCUAGAGCAGUGGCACAGUGUGUGGGGGGGAAUGGGGUGGUUGCCCCAGAUACAAAAUUGUAAGGGGCACAAAAAUUUGCACACUUGGUGCUACCUCAAUACAACUGCACACUUCCGUAAUGUGCUCCCUUGAAAAAAGGUUCUCCAUGUGAAGUUGACCUCUCCAAACAAUGGAGCGACUCUUAUUUUCUUGUCUCUUUGACUGCAAUGUCCUGGGUGAUGCGGAGGCUGUUAGGCAGUUGAAUGUACAUGCGUACUUUAUCCGUUUCCCUUCCACCCCCUCUGCACUUGGCCCCGGGCGCUGCAACCCACGCUACACCACUGGCCUAGAGGGCCAGACAGAGACACAUUGCUCUUUCAGCUUGAGGUUCCUCACCUUGUUGCAGAUUGAUGAGCUGCUUCCACAAGUGACUAAUGCUGACAGGUGCUGUCGAUGGCUUCUGGCUAAUUGCCCAGGAAAUCAGAGAGGCAGACAAAGAGCCAGCUUUCCAGUGACGUCCUUUGCGAUGUAAAGAUUAGGCACUCUCCCUGCUUCUCGUCUUCCAUUGUUUUUCCUCAGGCACCUCAGGAGCUCUAGGUCCACUCUCCCCUCAACUGGGCAGAGAGUCAGGGGAGAGGGAGAGGGAGCGGGAGAGGGAGAGGGAGAGGGAGGGGGGAAAAUCUCUAAAGGCUACUCGAUCUUCUGCACCCUGACCCUCAAGUCUGCCUUGAUAAUGUACCGAGUACCCAGAUGGGAUCAGCUGGGUGAGACCAAAUCCACUCUGCUCUCAGAGGUGCUUCAACUGGUUUGGCCUAAUUGGGCACCGUGCCAUAGGAGGUGCCACACCAAUGCUGUAGAACGAUGGAUGAGAGGUGGGGGCAUGUGCUAAAUUUUAGCAUCGCACAAGGCGCUGCUGAAAUCUGAGAGCCCAAAGUACGCCACUUAUGUUGUCCCAAUCAGGUCUCAGUGAUACCGUUCUUGUCACUGUUGCAGGCUGCGUGUCUUUUCAUCACAAUCUCUGCUCCUCACAUGUCAGAAAGUGGCAGCAGAGACUGUGCCUUUUGAAAUACCGAGAAUGAAUGUUUUCUUCACCAAGUUUAUGCAACAAUUCAAAGCUCAAUAGUUUUGUACAGCGGAGGUAUGGAAACCCUGGCCUUUCCGAAGUUGUGGGGCUCCAACUCCCAUCAGCCCCAGCCAGCAAGAGCAAUAGAAGGAUGCAAAGAGCAGGCGGACCAAUUGGCCCCUUUCUGUGCAGGAGGACAUAGACUAGGUUGUCCAGGUUAGAAAAAGAUAAGAAUACAAGAAAAAUUCACAACCUUACAUUAAACUAUAAAAAGUUAAGAUACAAAGAAAGUCUGAAUUUUCUAAGGCGUUUUAAGAAUUAGGAGUUUUUUUCAUUCCUACACAGUGCUCUAUCUAUAAAGCCCAGGUUAGGAAUGUUCCCAAGUGAUGUUCCACACUAUAAAAAGCAGUGUUCCCAGAACCCUUCCUGAUAGACGUCUUACAGCAAAGAGUUCCUUCAUGACUGUCUCAUCACAUCCAGUCCUGCUGCUUUGAGAAAGCUCAUCUAUGCAAAUCUGCCCUUGGGCCCUUGGACUGAACGUCCCAUAAUGCUCUGCAGGAUCUGCAAAUCCCAAUAGAGGCAAUCGAUGAUCGCGGAAGAUAUUUGCAUGAAGGGGCAGCUCUUCAGCUCUGGGGGAUUUAAGAGAGGAGUGAGGAAGUUUCCUUCAGAUGUUGAAACUCCCCUGCAGAUCUCACCAUCAUGUCUUCCUUUCUCUUUCUCUUUGCUCUUUUUAUUUACUGCUCAGGUAAAGCUGUGGAGAAGAUCUCAUGUUCUAUUGGCCAACCAAAAGCUAACUGCAUUUAUCAUUUUUAUUUAUUUGAGAGCACUAAAAAUGUUCCCCUUUCUCCAUAUUUUUUUAAACAGGAGUCACCUGCCAGUCAGUUUGCACUCAGCCUGCCUCUGAGUCUGUGUCGCCGGGUCAAACCAUUAAACUCUCCUGUACUACUAGUGAUACUGGCUCCUACAUUGGCUGGUAUCAACAGAGAUCAGGGCAGGCCCCACGCUUUGUGCACUGUGAAACUUGCAGCAGGGGAGAAGGGAUCCCGGAUCGAUUCACCGCUUCUCGCUCUGGGAACAUUGGCUAUUUAACCAUCACCAACAUCCAGGUUGAAGACGAGGCUGUUUAUUACUGUGGCAGAUGGUACAGUGGCAAGUUC
rnacentral:lncRNA from 1 species